rnacentral:misc_RNA from 1 species
AUUUAGAGGAAGGAGAAGUCGUAACAAGGUUUCCGUAGGUGAACCUGCGGAAGGAUCAUUGUCGAAACCUGCGAAGCAGAACGACCCGCGAACAAGUGAGAACCAUCACGGGCGGAAGGCCUACGGGCCGGUCGCUCGCAGCCCGGGAGUAGUAGGGAUGUGGUAAGCCACAGCCAACACGCCUCGGGCACAAAAACGAACCCCGGCGCAGAUCGCGCCAAGGAACCAAAGAAAGAUGUGCGCUCCCCUCGUCCCGGAAACGGUGCUGCGGGGGGAUGCGUCGUCGUUGAUAUCACAUAACAAACGACUCUCGGCAACGGAUAUCUCGGCUCUCGCAUCGAUGAAGAACGUAGCGAAAUGCGACACUUGGUGUGAAUUGCAGAAUCCCGCGAAUCAUCGAGUUUUUGAACGCAAGUUGCGCCCGAAGUCGUCAGGCCGAGGGCACGCCUGCCUGGGUGUCACGCAACGUCGCCAUCCCACACCCCACUCCCCUUCGGGGACGGUGUGGGAUGGCGGAUAUUGGCCUCCCGUGCGCUCCCGCUCGCGGUUGGCCCAAAACACAGCCCCUUGGCGAAGGCAGCCACGGCACGCGGUGGUCGAAAGCGCUAGCUCCUCGGAAACCGCCGUGGCGAGCCCCGUCCACGUGGAGCCAAAGACCCCGACGCGAGCGUCCUCACAAAGCGACCCCAGGUCAGGCGGGAACACCCGCUGAGUUUAAGCAUAUCAA